rnacentral:rRNA from 1 species
UACAGAGGGUGCGAGCGUUAAUCGGAUUUACUGGGCGUAAAGGGCGUGUAGGUGGUUGCGUAAGUGAGAUGUGAAAUCCCCGGGCUCAACCUGGGAAUGGCAUCUUAUACUGCGUAGCUGGAGUAUAUGAGAGGGUAGUGGAAUUUCCGGUGUAGCGGUGAAAUGCGUAGAUAUCGGAAGGAACACCAGUGGCGAAGGCGGCUACCUGGCAUAAUACUGACACUGAGGCGCGAGAGCGUGGGGAGCAAACAGG